rnacentral:lncRNA from 1 species
AAGCCAUGGGAACGAAGGAUGUCAGAGUGGACGUGAAGCUCAACAAGCAGAUCUGGAGCAGAGGCAUCCGAAGUGUUCCAAGACGUAUCAGAGUUCGUAUUGCUCGCAAGAGGAAUGACGAUGAGGACGCAAAGGAAGAGCUCUACUCUCUUGUCACUGUUGCAGAGAUCCCAGCUGAGGGUUUGAAGGGUCUUGGUACCAAGAUCAUCGAAGAUGAGGAAUAAACUUGUCUUUUUUAGUGAAGAAUGAUGAUACCGUUAGUGUUUUUUGUUAUCCCAUUUAGUGCUUUGCGACUGCUAAAUUUUGUUUAUGAUACUCAAGUAUUUUCCUGUUUCAGA